UCCUGCAUUGGUUCCUGGAACUAGAAGGCUCGAAUUUCUACUGAUAGUAUUCAACAGUAUUAGUAAUGAUCGCUCAACAUUCUAUAGCUUAGGGAAGUAAAAUUACAAUGUACAGAUCCAUUUGACGAGUAAUUGAAAGUUAACAAGCCAUUGCAAAUGCAGGAAAUUCGGAUACAUAUUCAACUGAACGUAACUGACUAUUGAGAUUGUACUCGUAGCAUAGGCAAGCGACAAAAGUAUGUCUAAUGGUGCUCGUCAUAUGAUAUUGGUGCUUCGAGUGACGAAAUGCGGUCACAUGACUACGCAACAUGGAUCCCCCAUGAGCUUGCAAACUGUUGACAGUGCACACGUUCCUAUCACACAAUCUAAAAGCUGAAUCUGAAGGAAGACGACAAAGGACGUGAUUGCAUAAUGGAUGAGGUGCAGGAUGACGAGGAGGAUGAAAAAGAGCUGCAUGACUCAAGGCGGCCGAAGGCACCGAGUAAAAAGAAGUUUGAAGAAGACAUGGAGGUUCUUGGCAGCAGUAUACGUGCCAAGGAGCAAGAGUUGGAAGCAAGUAAAGUUGCAGGUAUGCCAAAUGCAUCUGACCAGCUGAAAAACUUGAAGGUAGAGAAAAAUGCAAGUAUUGAACAGCGCAAGAAGAUUGAUGUGGACCUACAAAAACUGAAUAAAGACAUUUCAGAAAUGAUGUGCAACCUAUCUCGUUUGGAAUCCACGCUGCACUACAGAAAUGAAGACAAAAUCAAUGAAGCUAUAAAACGCCUAGAAUGGAAUAUGAGUGUGCAAAAUUUCAAGCUUUCUGAAGAGAAAAAGAUCGUGGCAGAGAUAGACAGUCUGCGUCGUUCCAAGAAGACCCUUGCACUUUACCUGAGUCUUAAAAAGGAAAUGGAGCGAAUGAGAGACCAGCAACGCUUUAUGCGUGAAGAGAGAGAUCACUGCUUUCACAAUGUGACACAACUGAAACAGCAAGAAGAAAAAGUCCGCAGUGAUGCUGUCAAAAAGAAGGCUCAAACAGAGAAGCUGAAGAAAGAGGUGGACGGUCUGUAUGAGGCCAAGCGACAGAUGAUAGCCACAUACAAAAAGCAGAGGGAGGAGUUCAAUGACAUGCGAGAAAAGCAGCGGCACGAGAGCUUCAAGAAGCGGGAAGAAGAAAAACGAGCCAUUCAGGCAAGACUCAAGAAAGAGCUAGAUGAUCUAGAGGCCCAGAAGCGACCAUAUGAGGAUGAGAUUUGUCUCUGCAACACCUUGAUACACUACCUGAAUCGUUUUGUUGCCAACACUGAUGUUGAAACUGUCAGCCCUACAGGGUUUGCAUCUACACCAGUUUCUUCUCCUGCCACGGAAGAACCAGCCCCACUGAAUAACCAAGCAUCUGGGCUUGCAGAAGAGCUGGAAGAUGGCCAGUAUGUUCUCCUGAGAAAAUGUGAAGACAGCAGCUAUGUUUCCUGCUCUGCCAAACACUUAGCUCGCAAACAGCGCCGAAGCCGAAAGGCAUCCAUGGUGAAGCGAAUCACUCAUACACCAGAAGUACUAUCCCAAUUUUUAGCUCUCAAUCUUAACGCACCUACGACUAUGGCCGAGGUGCUUGCUUCUCUGGAGCAGCUGCGGGCAAGAAGGCUGCAUUAUGAAAGGGAGGCAGAGGCAAAAAGUGAAACAGAGAGUGCGGUGUAUGAGAUGUCAAGGCAGGCCAGCCACACAGAGAGCUGCGACGGACAGUCAGAGGCACAGCUCAGUGACCAGGUGAUGGAGGAACUGCUGCAGGUUAAUGGUUGCUGGCAAUCUGCAGAAAAUGUUUGCUCACUGAAGCAAGAAGAGGCAUCCAGUUCUGGCUGGGUCAAUAACCAUGCAGAACCAGACAUUUUAAAAAAUUGCUCCUCUACUAGAGAAGAAGGAGUUACCUUAGACAAGUGUUCUUUCCCAUCUCUGCUGGAAACGGUUGCAGAUUCUUUCAAAAGCAGCAGAGGACCACUUUUUAAACGGCCUGCCAGCAUGUUUUUAGGGGAAGAAAUGGAUAGUUUUAAUGGUGUUACGGAUGUUGUGCAUCGGCAUCUUGCAGGAUCUCCAGAUUGUGUUGCUACCAGUUUUUCAAAGGCAGCUUGGGAUAGCACACCACAGGGUAUUCUGUUGGAUCAUAGAAUAUCUACUGUUCCUGUUGUUAAUGGGGUCAGCAAAUGCGAUGAUGUGAUAGAACUCGGGAAUGGCUGCCCUACUGUCCAAUGGCAGGAAGUUGCUCAAGACAUAAGUGACAAGGGAUCAGCCUGUCAUGAGGAAGAUGCAGUGAUUCUGACAGGAAAUGACUCAAACAGUGGUGGAAUAAACAGAUCCCAAAUGGGAUUUUGUAACAACAGCGAGACAUACUGUAACAUCCCCAUUGCUACUGUCAGCCAUCCUUCUGAUUUCAAUGAUAUCCUGAUUGAUGGAGCUGAAGUUGCAUCUGAACUUGGCAAAGAGUCCGAAAUUUGUGUAGCCUUAAACAGCUUGCAUCUCAAAGGUGACGGUAUGGUUCGAAAAGAGGCAAACUUCACAGACAGGGGCAAUAAAAACAAGGAUGGGGGAAUUUUAAUUUAGACUGCCCUAAUGGGCACUGCAUCACAGUGACAUCAGUAAAAUGCACCUGCCCACUUCCACUCACACUCCUCUUUGAUAUUGGUGGCUAAUGCUGCCACCUCUGCAUUAUCAUUCACUCUUGUUGUCUCCAUAAUUAUCAGAAAAGGCAGAGCCAUCUGACACUGUUAGUGAACUUCGAACUUUGCAAACUGACAGGAACAUUUGUGCUUUGACUAUACAUAUGUUCACGCACGCGCAGACAUGUACUUAUGCACACACAGAGCUUUGCACUGUGACGAACAGGUCUAUGAAAAACAUGCAAUGAUUUUGUAGCUACUUUUGAACUACAUGUAUUGUAUCCAACUUCUAAUGAAUGCAGUCCCUAUUUUUUUUUUAAACACACUAAAGAUCACAUAUUUACCAGAAUAGUUGAACAUCUCUUUUAGCAUUUAGUAUAAUUAUGGUUAUUUAUGAAUAUUUUUAGUGUGCUAUUGAUUGGGUGGAGGUGGUGUUGUGACCUCAGCACAUGAAAUAUUGGAAAAGUGUGGCUGUUACAUUUUUAAUUAAGCAUUUCAUGUUGACAGGUUGCUUUCAGUGUUUUGAAAUAUUAACCUGAUGACUUAUUUAUUGAUGAUAAAAAUGAGUGUGAUAAAAUCCAAUUAUGAAUAUAUUUACAUAAACAUUGAUUAUGAGUAAGCUUAUAAGUUUAGUGGAAGAACUAGUUGCAGUGUCCCUCCAUUGUGCAACAUGUUUCUGGUCAAUAUGUUGAGUUUCUCAACCUUUUCUGAUAACUGCCUGGAAGUUGACUAACAUCAGUGGAGCUCAACCUCCUUCUCAGUUCGGCAGAGAUUAAUUGGAGUUUUUCCCCCCACAGAACUUGGUGAAUAUCAUGUUGAUCUUUAUGAUUCACUUUGUUAUUGUAUGUUUAAAAGUCAAGGUGGACAAAGCUGAGGUGAUCACUCAUCUCUUAGGAAAAAAAAGCUGUUUCUGUAGUUUCAUUAUAAAGUGAUAUAAUGGAUGACAUCCUUACAUUUUUCCUUCGAAAGCUUUGGUCCCUAGAAACGUGUUGGUGUAAUAGAAUGUUAAAUUUUAACUUUUGGAACAGUAUUCAUAUUACAUAUUAUUUCAUGAUUUUGACAUUAUGUUUACAUGCUGACACAUCAUUGUACUGGGUGUCUCCCAGGUGUAGUCCAACUAUUGAUAUCCAUCACAUUUUUAAUGGUUUCUUGAUUUUCUUAUCACUGCCCAUGGAAGAUUUUUGUGUGGACCUUCUCCAAAUAGUGGUUUAUGCCUGACAGCACUGUAUUGAUACUGUUGACUUGAACUGAUGGUGAUAACACACUUACGUCUUUUUUUAAAAAAAUAGAGACUCUUGCAUGGUUGUGGAAUGCUCUGGGUUCUGCUGUUGAAUAUAACUCUUUGCAGACUUGCUUUGAGAGAUGGAAAAUGGUCUUUAAAGAAAGUCAAGGUUUUCUAGAAUAUAAAUUUGAUGGCUUACAUUAUUUGUCAACUUAGAAUAUUCCAUCCUGAUUGAUACUGACACUCUUAAUCAUUUCCAUUCAAAAUUUUAGAUCGCAAAACAAAUUACAGUCUAAAACACAGGUUUUGGGCAGUUCACAGAGGCUUAUGCAAUGGAAAACAUAAUAUUUCUUCAGGAAAAGUAAACCAUUUAAAAACAAUGUUACUUUCUGUCACGACAGUCUUGUCCGCUUUGCUAAGCUCUUUCUCACUGUACUCAUCUUCAGAAUUUUAGUGCACAGUACUUCGAUUCUAGUGUUUUGAUGAUUUGACAGCAAAACAUGGCAGCAUCUUUGUACCACCCCAGAUAAGUGCUACAGAUGUAAUUAUAAAGUAGAUGAUUGUUUUUGUAGCCCAACAGUUUGAGUGGAAAUGAUUUGGAACAUCAGUUUCCAUCAUUUAAGCUAAGCUUGCCAUUUCAUGUUCCUUUUCCUUAGAAGAGUCAACAGGUAAUCAUCUACUCUCUACUCUGCCAUCAAAUACUCUUUCUUGGUAAUGACAAAGGAUCAGCCUGUCAUAAACAAGAUACAGGGGUUCUCACAAGAAGCAAACAAGAGGUGGGUCAAGGUGAAGAGUCUUUAACAGACAUCCUAAAAAAUUGGCAUUCCCAAUUUAAAUGGGUUUUUUUUCUAGGCUUUUUUGGUGUAUUCUUCUCAAAUGCCUGCAUUAUUCCUUUUCCUGUUUUCAUUGGAUUGUGGUCUAUAUUCAGAUAGCUUUGUACAAGUGUUCCAAUCUCAUGCUUGACUGUUGUUUGACAGAUAGACAUGCCAAUAAGCAGUUUCGAUAACCCUUCUAAUAAAAUAUUUGGGGAAGGGGGGGUAUUUUAAGUAUAAUCUAUUUGACAAGCUGAAACUAAACAUUGUACUACUUCCUGUCUCAUUUUUUUGUUUGCAUAUUCUGAAUGCUUGGGUAUUGUGAAAGCAUUCAUGAGUAAAAACAAACUGUACAUUCAGAGAUAGGGCAUUCUGGAGUUUAAGGAAAAAAACAUUUUUAUGAAAAUGGCAUAUCACUAGUAUAAGCAGAUCAGAAUGCGCUUUUUUUCAAUGUCUGCUCGAAACCAUAUAUGCGAGGUAUCAACAGUGCUGGACAUGUUAUAGUAGCUAUUUGGUGGGCCAAUAACUUGAUCACAUAUCAUGCAUUCAAGAGCUCAGCUUUGUUGACAAGAAUAAUGAAUUUGAUACAUGUUAAGAGAUAUAAUACUGGUUUCUAGAUAUAUAAGAUUUGUUUGUGGGAUUAUUUCUUUAUUAUGAUUGCAAGUAUGCUGUUGACUAAUCACUUUUCUACUGUUGGCCCAACUGUUGUACAAAAGGUAUGUCAUUAGCUGAAGUUUUUAGAGAGAAUAAUGCAGCAGAAAGAUUUGAUGGGGAACAGAGUUUUGAUAAUUAUGAAGCUAAUAUUGUUUGCAAUAAAAGUAAAUGUGAAUAUCAUGUGAAUUUGAUGAAAGGUGCCCCACGUACAAGUAAUGGGGGGAUGUUGUUCUGGCUACAUUUUCUGGAAUUAAACAUGUUUUACUUGUUUAUAAACUUUUUGCCUAUUCAGUCUAUUGUUGAAGUUUUGUACUUUUCCAAAAUAUCGAUCUUUAAGCUAGUUUUCUUUCCCCCGUUUUUUUUGUUUUGUUUUGUUUUGAAAUGUGGAUCCUAAUCAGUUGACUUCACUUGAUGGUUGAUUUGGGAAAAACAUGGACAUUGUUGGGUGAAAUUUGUAAGCAAUGUGGACUUUAUGGAUUUUUUGUUCUUUCCUAGUCUGUUCAGUCAUUACAACUUUUCGUACCAGUUUUAGUGUGAUGGUGAAAUGUAAUAGCACUCAAGGGUGAAACUUCUGUCCCUCAACCCACCCUUCCUUUUGCUUUAAAACUAUACUUCCUCACAAGAAUCAAAUUCAGAUAUGGUACACUAAUUUUUUUUGUUUCAAAGUUGGAUGUACAUUUCAUUGACAACCUGUGCCUAGAAAAUCCAGUCUGUUUAACUGCCAGUUAUAUCAUCAUUGUGUUUCCAGUGUAAUUUCUCAUAGUCAGAUCUCAUGGAUCUUUUUGUUAUGUGAUUCAAAUAGAUUUUUGUUGUCUUCACUAUAUUCCUAAACAGGCCUGCCUCUUCAUAAAAAUUUGUUGCAGUUGUAAAGUAUGAGUUCUAAAUAGGUGAGAGCACAAAGAACGCAUCUAUGUAUACACUUGUGUUUAAGUAAGGUGACCAGACGUCCCGCUUUUGACCUCGUGUCCUGCCUGCUAAUUGGGCGGGACGCCCAAUGUCCCGCUUUCUGGCUUUCUGGCAAGUCCAUCAAAUGUCCCGGUUGUCUUUAAAAAUCACUUUUUUCAGCGUUCUUUGACGGUGACGAAACCAUCAUCGGUACGUGUCCCGCUUUCGCCCCCGAAACGUCUGGUCACCUUAGUUUAAGUGUACCUUUGUGUGUUUAGAUGUGGUUCAAACAUGCAUUUGUAUGCAAUUCUUAAACCUCUUAAAAAAUCUCUAACAUGAUCGUGGGUUUUAUUGAAUGUGCAUAGCAAUAAUGUCAUUUCAAAAGCACUUUUCUUCACAUCAGCAUUCUGAUGCAAGUGUAUAUGCACUGUUGUACUUUUUUUUGCCAUAUAAAGUCAGCAUCAAACAACUACUGAAGGUUAUCAUGUACAUAUUGGCAUAGCCUGUAUGCAAGCAGGCAAAUUCAAGAAUUGUUUGUUCUAUGAGAACAAGCAUGUCCUGAUCUUGACAGACUUAUGCCCAUGUGCUCAUGCAAAUUGGAGAAAAGUAGUUUUCAAUCCUCCACCAUAAAACCUAUCUCCAACCUCUAAAAUUACCAAAACCAGGAUCUGUUAGCUUUGGUAAUUUUAGAGGUUGGAGAUAAGUUUUAUGGUGGAGGAUUGGAAAUAUACACUUGAAUUAAAGCCACAGUGCUGCAUGGAGGUGUGCUGAUCCAGUAGCAGUAUACAGCUGAAUAUGGGCUAAGGCAGGAGUGGGGAGGUGUCUCGUUAUUCAAAGUUUUACUUAAAAGAAACUAUUAUUUUGUUUGCAAGGGAACUAUGACUUUGCAAUUGUAUACAGUCCUGGGACUGCUAAAGCAGCAGUGGUGAUCCUGAUGUUCUUGUAAGUGAAGUUGCUGUUUGCAGUGUGACACACUACAUUGUUUGGUAGUUAUGAGUGAUACAUAUUUUUUAUAUGCUGGUGGAUGACUUUUUGCAAAGGAACAUUUGCGAGGCAUCCUUACCAGAGAGGCUUGCUUUUUUUUUCUUCUUGUUAUGGGAGUGGGUUGAACUUUUGACUUCAUCUGUCACAUUUACACCAGAGCUUAUCAUCCCAUAUCUCAUGCCACUUGUCUAUUCCAGAAAUUGUGGUGAAUGAAGGAAGUAUACCACUGGGGAUUCCUUUGAUCAAAUUGACAAUGACAUUGUGUGGGGAGAGGUGGGUGAAUCUUAAUGCACUUUUAAGGUUGCUGUUAAAUGACCCUUUGGCAUACAAGUAUGCCAUAAAUUCCAAGUACUGAAUACAUAUUUAUUAUGGUAUGAAGUUCAUAUAGAGCAAGAAGUGUCACUUACCCUCAAUAUUAGUCAUCACUUGUUAACUUCUUUAAUUAUUUGCAACCUUUUGAAUUUGACAGAAGUUUUAGGUACUCUUUAUUUGGCAUUUCUUACCUUUACCACUCCUUACCACUCGCCCUUAUUCUGUAGUAAAAUUAAAUUACUGUGACAUCUAUAAUGGCUUUCAACAGAGACAGUUCUAUAUAUAUAUCAUUAUACAAGAAUUGUGCAAAGUUGAUGACAUUGUCAUUAAACAGAACAUAGUGUGUGAUUUUACUAGGGCAAAAAUAGUGAUGGCAUUGAUUAAAUUAUUGGCCUUAAAUUAACACACUUCUGGUGUUUACUUACGACUUCAUUUCCUUGUUAAUUUUGUGGCAUUAGGACACACUAAACCACGAUGUUAUUGUUAGAACAUUUUAAACAAUAUUUGGUGGCAGGGAUUCUUAAAGGACGAAAUGCAAACUUUUAUGUGUGUCAUUUUGUUUAUGCAGUGCACAAGUUAUUUGCCAGUCACAAACUUUAUUUUCAGAACUAGUAUUUCACAGAUCAGAAUAUACCAUUGACUGAUAACGACCAAAACAGCUUUUGUUAAGCUGCUUCUGGUACUGUUUUCUGCUGGUAAGAGAACUUUGCUGUGCUAGAUGAUGUUGUUUGUUGAGUUUGGCUGAAAUAUGCAGAUGGCAACUUGAGUGCUCUUAUGUUCUGACAGACUGAAGUGAAGGCUUGUGAUGAUUCAAGUUUGUAUCUGAUGCUUACUUAAGUAUGUUUGUUGCAGAAUACAUGGUUGUCUGCUGGUAAAGCACUGUUUCAUCAUGCAUUGUUAUAGAACAGGCAAUAAAUGUGUGAGACAUU
rnacentral:misc_RNA from 1 species